CACGCCGUAAACGAUGGGUACUAGAUGUGGGAGGUGUCGACUCCUCCCGUAUCGUCGCUAACGCAGUAAGUACCCCGCCUGGGGAGUACGGCCGCAAGGCUAAAACUCAAAGGAAUUGACGGGGGCCCGCACAAGCAGCGGAGCAUGUGGUUUAAUUCGACGCAACGCGAAGAACCUUACCUGGGCUUGACAUGUAUGUGACCGCCAUAGAGAUAUGGCUUCCCUUCGGGGCACAUUCACAGGUGG
rnacentral:rRNA from 1 species